rnacentral:rRNA from 1 species
UGGGGAAUUUUGGACAAUGGGGGCAACCCUGAUCCAGCAAUGCCGCGUGAGUGAAGAAGGCCUUCGGGUUGUAAAGCUCUUUUGUCAGGGAAGAAACGGUGGUUUCUAAUACAGAUCACUAAUGACGGUACCUGAAGAAUAAGCACCGGCUAACUACGUGCCAGCAGCCGCGGUAAUACGUAGGGUGCAAGCGUUAAUCGGAAUUACUGGGCGUAAAGCGUGCGCAGGCGGUUAUGUAAGACAGAUGUGAAAUGCCCGGGCUCAACCUGGGAACUGCAUUUGUGACUGCAUGGCUAGAGUUUGGCAGAGGGGGGUAGAAUUCCACGUGUAGCAGUGAAAUGCGUAGAUAUGUGGAGGAAUACCGAUGGCGAAGGCAGCCCCCUGGGUCAAGACUGACGCUCAUGCACGAAAGCGUGGGGAGCAAACA